GAUGAACGCUAGCUACAGGCUUAACACAUGCAAGUCGAGGGGAAACGAUGAGAGAGCUUGCUCUCUUAGGCGUCGACCGGCGCACGGGUGAGUAACGCGUAUCCAACCUACCCAUUACAGGGGGAUAACCUUGCGAAAGUAAGACUAAUACCCCAUGGCAUUUUAUGGUGGCAUCAUUAUAGGAUUAAAGAUUUAUUGGUAAUGGAUGGGGAUGCGUCUGAUUAGCUUGUUGGCGGGGUAACGGCCCACCAAGGCAACGAUCAGUAGGGGUUCUGAGAGGAAGGUCCCCCACAGUGGAACUGAGACACGGUCCAAACUCAUACGGGAGGCAGCAGUGAGGAAUAUUGGUCAAUGGGCGAGAGCUUGAACCAGCCAAGUAGCGUGCAGGAUGACGGCCCUAUGGGUUGUAAACUGCUUUUAUAGGGGAAUAAAGUGAGCUACGUGUAGUUUAUUGAACGUACCCUAUGAAUAAGGACCGGCUAAUUCCGUG
rnacentral:rRNA from 1 species